AUACUAACAGCAUGAUCUUUAUUCCAUACCAUAUAGGAAAAACUGAACACAUCUGUCCUGCAGAGCUGGUACAAAUUUACAUUAGCAACUAUUGAAUCAGUGAAGGAGGUAUAAUAAAGCAAGUGUUUAAAUAAAUACAGCCAAAUCAAAAUUGUUUGUAUCCACACUACACUUCCUCAUCAAUGGACAACUCAAUGAGAACAAAUGUUGUGGACAACUGUGGUUUUGGACAUUGCAGGCUGGCUGCACAUUUUGCAAUGAUGUACAUGCAGGAGAUCGGUUGUUGAAGCAUGAAUGAAAUCGAUUUCAAAAAAGCUCCAAGGCUUACUUUUUGAAAUGACUGAGAAUGGGUCAUUCCAGAAAACAUCCAUACCACCCCCACAGAGGAAAUAGGAAGUUAACCCCCUUCAGAUGUCCUAAUACAUUAACUAUUAUCAGAAACAAUUUUUUCUCCCCUCCCCCUCCGGACGGCAGAAAUUUCCUCCAUGGGGGGAGUAUGGAUCUUUUCUGGAACGACCCAAUUCAUUUUCCAUAUGAGUGAGAGUUCCUAUCAGCCGCAUGUGAGGAUGCAUAUUACCACCUCUUUUCUUUACCCUUGCACAGUACAGAGAAGGGAAAACAAAGACCAGAUUUUGAACCAAGUAAAUUUGUUAUUUAACUUAAAACUACGAUGGCCGAGGAGGGCCACUUCUGACUUCUGAGUUCCGACUUCCAACUUCUGACUUCCGACUUCUGAUUUCUGACUUCCGACUUCUGACUUCUGAGUUCCGACUUCUGUCUUCUUCUGCCUUUCCAGCUAAACACGGCAAAUCCAAACCGAUUGCUUCGAUUCUGCAUUAAUUUUGCUGAUAACGUCUAAAUAUAUUAUAAUUUUCUUAUCCAGAAUUUCCGAAUUUUGUUUCAUUUUUUUCAAUUUUAUGUUGCCGUGUUUCCAACAGUAUUAUCAUUCUUUGUUAGCAAUACUUAUUUUUGAUAUCUUAUGUAUUUCAGUAGAAAAAAGCUAUGUAUGUUCAACGGGAUGUUCUUUAUCAAAUUUAGCCGUAGGGGACAUUUAAAAAUAAAUUAAAAUUUAAUUUAACAUUUACAUCACUUAUUUCCAAAACUUAGCUCAAGAACUUUCCAAAAUACCAUCCAGAAAAAACAAUCACCAAUAUAAUCAUAUGGAUAAGAAAUUUAUCUAUUUUGGCGAUAAAAUUAACCUUUGGCGAUAAAAUUAAUCCUUGGCGAUAAAAUUAAUCAAAUUGAUAUUGUCAAUUGACAAAAUUUUCAUUAUCCACCACAGUAGAACCACGGUUACACCGCCAUUUCAAACUUAAGUUAGUUGGCUAAAUUUCAUGAGUCAAGCCUCAAAGGAAAAAAUAAUUAGUUCGAAAAAGCAACGAGUUCGAGUUAUAUGAGUUCAAAAUAACGGAGUAAAGAAGUCCGAACUCAGAAGUCGGAAGUCAGAAGUCAGAAGUCGGAAAUCAGAAAAUUGGAAGUCGGAAGUCAGAAGUGGGAAGUCAGACGUCAGAAGUCGGAAGUCAGAAGUCGGAACUCAGAAGUUGGAAGUCAGAAGUCGGAAGUCGGAACUCGGAAGUCAGAACUCGGAAGUCAGAAGUGGCCCUCCUCGGUCAUGUGGCCCUCCUCGGCCAUCGUAUAGAAGUCAGCCUGUCGGAAUUCGGGACUUUUGGAAAGUUCUUGAGCUAAAUUUUAGAAAUAAGUUAUGUAAAUGUUAAAUUUUAAUUAUCCAAUUUAAUUGUUCCCUACAGCUAAAUUUAAACCGUUGAGACAGUGAAAUCGCAAUGGUGUAGAGAAUAUCUCGUUGAACAUAGUCUUUUUUAUACUAAAUUAUCGAAAAUAACGAUAUCAAAAUAAGUAUUGCUAACAAAGAAUGAAAAUACUGUUGGAAACACGGCAACAUAAAAUUGAAAAAAUGAAAUAAAAUAAUGAAUUCGGAAAUUCUGGAUAAGAAAAUUAUGGUAUAUUUAGACGUCAUCAGCAAAAUUAAUGCACAAUCGAAGCAAUCGGUUUGGAUUUGCCGUGUUUAGCUGGAAAGGCAGAAGAAGUCAAAAGUCGGAGGCAGAAGAAGUCAGAAGUCGGAACUCAGAAGUCAGAAGUCGGAACUCAGAAGUCAGAAGUCAAACUCAGAAGUCAGAACUCGGAAGUCGGAAGUCAGAAGUCAGAAGUGGCCCUCCUCGGCCAUCGUAUAAAACAGCACUGUAUAUAACUUGAAAUACUGUAAGAAAUGAAAUAUCAGCUAAAUACUAAUUCAGUAAGAAUUGUCUUGGUAUGGAAAUAUCUUGUUCUGUUGUAUAUGCAUUGUUGAAUUGCCAUGUCACUUUCUUGAGUAUUACCAGAAUAUUAAGUAUAGUUGAGCCAGCUUCCUAAUAUUAUGGAAUCUAGGAUAGUUGUUGACUUUGCGGUUUUCUUAAUAAUCUCAUAUUAGCAACAUUCCUAGAUGCGAAGACUAACAGCAUUCCCAUCCCCAUUAAGUUGUACAUAUACAGUUGCAGUCUUCUUGACAGUCCUUGUUUUAUCCAUAUUGAAGUUUGAGAAGCAUGAAUAUCUCAAAUAUAAUACAAUUGAUUUGCAUUUCAUUUCACAAACUGGAAACCUAAAUCUAUAUGUUACACUAAAUCUAUCCAAUUAAUUUAUUAAUAGUAGAUUUAUUUCUAAUUGAGAGAGAAACAUACUUACAUAAGUUACAUUUGAACCAAACUAUCUCUAAACUGGUUGGCAGUGGCAGAAAUUCACUUUUUCCGGUGUGGGAGGGGGGGGGGGUGCAAGCCUUCUAAAUUUCCGAUAAAACUUUCAAAUUUCCGACAACCCCCCCCCGCCCAUUUGCACUUGAAAAGGCUUUUUUUAGCCCUUUUAUAGGUCAAAAUGUACGAAAAUUCGUCAUUUUCCACGAAGGUGGGGGGCGGCCGCCCCGCCCCACCGAGAUUUCCGCCACUGCUGGUCGGCAAUCUUUUAGUUUUACUUAUUCACCAUUCAGUGCACAAUAUAAACUCGCAAUACAAAUGAAAUUUCUGCUAUCUGAAAGGGGAUGGGGAAAUACACUUUUAGAAUGGUAAAAUGUACUAGGAUGUGUAAAAGAAAUUAUGGGAGUUCUAAGCUAUGUGAGAGCUGUGGAUCUAAGGCAAAUUAUUCCACAUGUAGGCACUUUGCAUGCUCCAAGGGAAUAAACUAUAAAUUACAGUAUUAUUAUAUACUAGAGUAUUUAUUAA